CCCUCUUUAGUAUAAUAAUUAUAUCUAGUUUCGGCCUAGAAGAUCGUUAAGGAGAGGGU
rnacentral:tRNA from 1 species